rnacentral:rRNA from 1 species
UACGGGGGGAGCAAGCGUUGUUCGGAUUUACUGGGCGUAAAGGGCGCGUAGGCGGCCAGCACAAGUCAGUUGUGAAAUCUCCGGGCUUAACUCGGAAAGGUCAACUGAUACUGUGCGGCUAGAGUGCAGAAGGGGCAACUGGAAUUCUUGGUGUAGCGGUGAAAUGCGUAGAUAUUCGCAAGAACACCAGUGGCGAAGGCGGCUCACUGGCCCGAUACUGACGCUGAGGCACGAAAGCGUGGGGAGCAAACAGG